AUGUCUGUAAGCAGCAAGGAAAAGGCACAUCAGGAAGCUCUCUGCUCUGGAGUAGUGAGCUGUCUUUUGGAACACAUAUUCUGUCCUUUGCAGGGAUCCACUGUGGGAGUGGAGUGCUUCGUUCUGUUCUAGAAGAAUUGUGAAAAGCCAGGGAUGUAGAUAACUCUGUGCUUUGAAAACAGAAAGUUUGAAAGAGGCAAUGAAACUCGGGGGUGGGGCGAGGGGGGGGGAGUGACCGACUGAUCAUUACCUUCCUGUUGCAGGUCAUUUAACCAAGUGGUGCUGAGAUAGUGUUUGUCCACAUCCUGAUAUAUAGUUUGGUUGAGGGAAUCAUUCAUGACAAACUUCUGCCUGACGAGCUUCAUCAGUUUGUAUCUCAAAUCACUCUGGGUCUCAUGAUGGAGCCCUGGCAGGCUUGGGAUUCACUUGACCGACAAGAAUAGACUUGGAAUCACAAAGAUUCUCCUGCAUCUACUUCCCACCGGGAAGCAAGUUCCCAAGUGACAAGGAAGACUACCAGUAUUCCCAGUCUCUAAUUCAGAUGAGUAUAUGCUAAGUAUGGGGAACUGAAGCCCAGAGAGAUUAAGGAACAUGACUAAGGCGGUGGCAGCUAGCAGAGGUCAUGAGCCAAUGAACCACGGCUGCUUUCUCUCCAACAGAAGACCUUUACAUGACCUUUGCAGUAUGGCCAAGAAAGGAGUCCUUGAAUCAUGGGUUAUGGACUGCAGGUCAUCUUCAGUGAAGGUCUCACUGAAACUCAGCCGUCUCUUCUUCAGAAUCUUCCCGUUGCUUGACGUUGCUGAUACUGUCACCCGGCUCUCCUUGAAGGUGAAGUUGGACAUCUUUGACGUUUCAGAGGUUCUCAGAGAUACAAACUGAUCUGUGCAAGUCUCAUGAAG
rnacentral:lncRNA from 1 species